CUGCGAGUCGCCGGAUAGUCCCACCGCGUAUGCUUUCCUCGCUGGAGUCUCCCGCAUCCUAUCCCAAGUUCCCAACCCGACCAGUUUGUACAGGGGUUUGGACCUCAUGUUUAGACAGUAUUGAAGCUUCAGGCUUUGAACUACUUAUAGUGUGGGCUUGGUUGCCUGUGUUAACUUCUAGCUGUGGAUCAUUCUGAAUACAAGAUGAUUGUGACAUUUUCAAGGAGGAUGGUGAUGUGAAUAAGUGAAUGAAGGGGUGUAAUUUGACAUACACUACACUACUUGGUGGAGCCGUGGGGGUACUAUGAAGCCUUUGUUAGUUCUUUUUAUCAGCUGAAUUGGUCAUAGUGCAAACUAUCCUCCAUGGUGAAGAGAUUUACUGUGGAAUAGUGCAAAUCACAAGAUGGAAUCCCAACAAUGAUGUGAAGAUCAGCCAGUAGUUGAAACUGAAAGGGACCUAGUCACAGAUAUAUAAACUUUCUUCGUCACUUUAAAACUUUACUGCUAUCGAGUAAAAGGUAUGGUUCCUCUUUCGCAAUGAACUUCUAUAACUUCUUACUGAAUAUAAACACCGUUUUGUAAUGAACUUCCUGGAGGCUUUCUCAACUUUAGCUCUAGUUCUUCUUAUUGAACUGUACAACUGUACAAGAAUAUAUAGGCAUACCGUUACCCUUUUACCAUGAAUAUGGGUAGAUAACUAGAUAUUUCUUGAUUAUUUGUCUUAUUGAGUUUACCCUCCGU